UGCAUGGCUGUCGUCAGCUCGUGUUGUGAAAUGUUGGGUUAAGUCCCGCAACGAGCGCAACCCUUAUCCUUGUUUGCCAGCGAGUAAUGUCGGGAACUCCAGGGAGACUGCCGGUGAUAAACCGGAGGAAGGUGGGGACGACGUCAAGUCAUCAUGGCCCUUACGAGUAGGGCUACACACGUGCUACAAUGGCGCAUACAGAGGGCAGCCAACUUGCGAAAGUGAGCGAAUCCCAAAAAGUGCGUCGUAGUCCGGAUUGGAGUCUGCAACUCGACUCCAUGAAGUCGGAAUCGCUAGUAAUCGUGGAUCAGAAUGCCACGGUGAAUACGUUCCCGGGCCUUGUACACACCGCCCGUCACACCAUGGGAGUGGGCUGCAAAAGAAGUAGGUAGUUUAACCUUCGGGGGGACGCUUACCACUUUGUGGUUCAUGACUGGGGUGAAGUCGUAACAAGGUAGCGCUAGGGGAACCUGGCGCUGGAUCACCUCCUUAAACGAUGAU
rnacentral:rRNA from 1 species